GAUGAACGCUGGCGGCGUGCCUAACACAUGCAAGUCGAACGGAGGCCAGCUGUUAAGACCUUCGGGUCGAAGAGGGGAAGACUGAGUGGCGGACGGGUCAGUAACACGUGGGCUACCUGGCUCAUAGAGGGGGAUAACAGAGAGAAAUUUCUGCUAAUACCGCAUAAGAACACCCUGCCGCAUCGCAGUGGGUGAAAAGAGAAACGCUAUGAAAUGGACCUGCGACUGAUUAGCCAGUUGGCAGGGUAAGAGCCUACCAAAGCGACGAUCAGUACCCGAUCAGUGAGGAUGGACGGCGACAAUGGGGCUGGGGCACAGCACAUACUCCUACGGAAGGCAGCAAUGACGGAUAAAGCAAAACGGGGGGAAACCUGAUGCAGCGAGGCCGCGUAAGUGAAGAAAGAUGGCAGUAUGUAAAGCUCUAUCAGCAGGGAAGCUAAUGACAGUACCUGAAGAAGAAGCCCCGGCUAACUACGUG
rnacentral:rRNA from 1 species